rnacentral:rRNA from 1 species
AGGGUUUGAUCCUGGCUCAGGACGAACGCUGGCGGCGUGCUUAACACAUGCAAGUCGAGCGAUGAAGUUUCUUCGGAAAUGGAUUAGCGGCGAACGGGUGAGGAACACGUGAAGAAUCUGCCCUCCACUUUGGGAUAACACCGGGAAACCGGUGCUAAUACCGAAUAUUGAAACAUAAGUGGCAUCACUGAGUUUUGAAAGAAUUUCGGUGGAGGAUGACUUCGCGGCCUAUCAGCUAGUUGGUGAGGUAAUGGCUUACCAAGGCAACGACGGGUAGCCGGCCUGAGAGGGCGACCGGCCACACUGGGACUGAGACACGGCCCAGACUCCUACGGGAGGCAGCAGUGGGGAAUAUUGGGCAAUGGAGGAAACUCUGACCCAGCGACGCCGCGUGCGGGAUGAAGGCCUUCGGGUUGUAAACCGCUUUCAGUAGGGAAGAAGCGAAAGUGACGGUACCUACAAAAGAAGCACCGGCUAACUAUGUGCCAGCAGCCGCGGUAAUACA